rnacentral:tRNA from 1 species
GUAAAUAUAGUUUAAACAAAACAUUAGAUUGUGAAUCUAAUAACAGAGGACCACACCCUCUUAUUUACC